rnacentral:lncRNA from 1 species
CAGGGAAGAGCUGCAACAAGUUGCCAACUCUGUCCGAGGUGGACGCCAAGAGGAUGGAAACGGUCCUCGGGAAGAUAGAGCCCGGAGGUUACUUCGAGGUGUCGAAGGUACUGGGUUCGCGGACCUUCCAGAAACACUUUGCGGCUGGUUGCACGGCGCUCUCUACCAGUGGCGGAGACAACACGACCUCGGGUGACGAGGGUGAGUUCG